rnacentral:rRNA from 1 species
UACGAAGGGGGCUAGCGUUGCUCGGAAUCACUGGGCGUAAAGCGCACGUAGGCGGGUCUUUAAGUCAAGGGUGAAAUCCUGGAGCUCAACUCCAGAACUGCCUUUGAUACUGAGGAUCUCGAGUCCGGGAGAGGUGAGUGGAACUCCGAGUGUAGAGGUGAAAUUCGUAGAUAUUCGGAAGAACACCAGUGGCGAAGGCGGCUCACUGGCCCGGUACUGACGCUGAUGUGCGAAAGCGUGGGGAGCAAACAGG